UCCCCAGUGGUCCAGUGGUUAAGACUCUGCAUUUGCAAUGCAGGGGGUGCAUGUUCGAUGCCUGCUUGGGGAG